rnacentral:rRNA from 1 species
GGGCCCGCACAAGCGGAGGAACAUGUGGUUUAAUUCGAUGAUACGCGAGGAACCUUACCUGGGUUUAAAUGGGGAGUGACAGCUGUCGAAAGAUGGUUUUCUUCGGACACUCUUCAAGGUGCUGCAUGGUUGUCGUCAGCUCGUGCCGUGAGGUGUCGGGUUAAGUCCCAUAACGAGCGCAACCCACGUCGUUAGUUGCCAACAGGUCAAGCUGGGAACUCUAACGAGACUGCCGGUGUAAACCGCGAGGAAGGUGUGGAUGACGUCAAAUCAGCACGGCCCUUACAUCCAGGGCUACACACGUGUUACAAUGGUCGGUACAGAGGGCAGCUACCAGGCAACUGGAUGCGAAUCUCAAAAACCGGUCUCAGUUCGGAUUGGAGUCUGCAACCCGACUCCAUGAAGCUGGAUUCGCUAGUAAUCGCGCAUCAGCCAUGGCGCGGUGAAUACGUUCCCGGGCCUU